rnacentral:tRNA from 4 species
GCCGGUGUAGCUCAGGGGUAGAGCGUUUCCUUGGUAAGGAAGAGGCCACGGGUUCAAAUCCCGUCAUUGGCU